UACGUAGGGUGCGAGCGUUGUCCGGAAUUACUGGGCGUAAAGAGCUCGUAGGUGGUUUGGUAAGUCGGAUGUGAAAUCUCCAGGCUCAACCUGGAGGGGUCAUUCGAUACUGCCAUGACUAGAGUUCGGUAGGGGAGUGUGGAAUUCCUGGUGGAGCGGUGAAAUGCGCAGAUAUCAGGAGGAACACCCGUAGCGAAGGCGGCACUCUGGGCCGAUACUGACACUGAGGAGCGAAAGCGUGGGGAGCGAACAGG
rnacentral:rRNA from 1 species